UGUUAUACAGGAUGAUAACAGGAGCUACACCUGACGUUAUGGCAGCACAUCACAAGCCUUCAUCUGGUCAGAUCCCAGUGACCCUGUGGAGCUGGUGGUGAGAGGUGGAAACAACCUCACUGGGCUUGAAACAUCACCAUAUCCAAUCAGCCCAGGGACCACACGGACAGCCCUCACGAGGCGCCUGGAUUUCAGCUGGGGCAACAUCCUCCGUCUGGGUCUGGUCUCCGGGGUUCUGCUGGCCCUGGUGCUGAUCAUGGCCGAGGCUGGUUACUGCUGGAAGGAGACUCCAGGGGAGCCUGGAUCCAGCCAUGCAGAGACGAAGAUCUCCCUAGGGAAAGAGCCCUAUCUGCUUGGAGGGCUCCACAGGGCAGAAAAGCCACUCUCCCUUCCCCCAGGAAAUCCCUGCUUCAGGGAAUCUCACAUUUAUUCCAUGGUGCUCCCAACUCAACAGCUGGACCCUUGGGAGCAAACUCUCGACCCCCGGCACCGAGCACACCAGUCCCUGCGUCACCAGCUAAGGGAGCACCUGCCAGGGCCCCAGGGGGUGGGGAAGCAGGGCCGUAGCAGAGCCCCGUGCAGGGAAGGUGCUGCCUAUGUCUGUGGGAAGCCCAGGGUGGGGUGUGGGGGGCUGGGCGCUGUAUAGGGCCCCCUCAAUAAAUAACCCCUUCCCUGCCAGAUUCCCUGCUCCUCCUGCUCCCUGCUGGGGAUAUGACCUGAGAAGAUGAGGGAAGGCCGUUAGUGCUUCCUUAGCCAGAGCAUUUGCUUCCCGACCUCAGGGGAUGAGCCGGAUCCCUGAGUAUGCCCCGGAGCCAAGGUCAGACUAGGGGGGUGGAGCAGAGCGAGAUUCCCUGAUCAUAAGAAUGGCCAUACUGGGUCUGUUCAGCCCAGUGUCCUGUCUGCUGGGGGGAGCGUGGGGCAGGGGAUCUGGGUGCAGGGAGAAGGGGACAGGAGACACCUCGGGGACAUGUUAAUGCCGGGGCCAUUUCUCCCCAGACUCAGGAAUCGCUCUGAUACCAGAAAAAAGAAAAGGAGUACUUGUGGCACCUUAGAGACUAACCAAUUUAUUUAAGCAUAAGCAUCCGAUGAAGUGAGCUGUAGCUCACAAAAAUUUAUGCUCAAAUAAAUUGGUUAGUCUCUAAGGUGCCACAAGUCCUCCUUUUCUUUUUGCAGACACCGACUGACACGGCUGCUACUCUGAAAUCUGAUACCAGAAGGGAUCUGCUGGCCUGAGCCCGGCACCGUCCAGCCCAACAUGUGGCUCUCCGUGCACAUGCAGCCAAUCUGUCACCUCCAGGGAAAACAGCCACCUCGGCCAAUGUGUGAGCACGACCCAGCACCCACUUGGGAAUGGGAUGGGGCAAAGAAGAGCCGGAGACAGCCCUUCCUGGAUGGGCACCGACACUGCCAUUGCAGUGCAGGGAUCCCAGCACACAACCUGUCCCGCACACAGAGCACCCCAGAACCCUGCAAUCCCUCCCUCCGCAUUGCCAGGCUGGGCUGGGAGCCAGGACCCCAACCCCCAGGGGAGAAAAGAGCCAGGAGCCUCUGUGUACAGGGGAAUUGUCUCCCCCAAAGCAGAGCAGGGUCCCAGCCAGAAGGGGUGGCUCAGAGAUGUUAUCUCCCAGCAGGGCAAGGCUCCCGAGGACCCCAUCCUGCAGAAUCCCAGCUCCUGAGAUAGAGUGACCGGCCCCCUGUGCAUGGAGACAUGAGGUCUGGCCCCUGGCACGGAAAUAAAGUCAUUUACUGCUCCCCCAACCCCGGGGUGUCUGUCCUGGUCUCUCUCUGGAGCUUCAGUUCUCUGUUGCCUCAGUCCCUGCAGUAGGAUCCCCCACUCUAUACAUCACCCGGCUCCCUCCCCCAGCUCUCACCCCCUCCCCAGUAGCUGAUCCCAUCUCUGUAGGGAUGGACCCUACUGUCCUGGGUCCCAUCUGCCCCCUUGGACCUUCUCCCCAGCUCUCCUGGGCCCUGCUGGGUCACCAGGAGGAUUUUUCUCCACCCCGCCUCCAUCACCCCUCCUCAGCCUGGGGUGGGGGGAGUGUCUCCCAGCACCCCAGUCUCUGAAGAGCCCCCAGAAUCCUCCCAGAAUUUCCAGAGCAUUCUCUGCCCUAUAUAUCCCCUGGGUGGCUCCUGCCCCUACCUAUGGAGCUGCCCCUCAGGCCAUCGGGGGCAGAAUUGUUCUUCCCAACCCUGCUGAGCCAUGGCAGCAUGAGCUGGUGUGUGUGUGGGGGGGUGAUGCUCCGUACCUCGGGGGAACAUCCUACACCCCCAUGUUCAUCCUUGUAAAAUGACUGUGUGGUAUCCAAUCCAAAGUUUGUCAGGUCGGCUGUCUUCGGAUGGGGAAUCCAGUAUGUCCUUUGGUCCAUUGUUCCUGUGUUAAUUUCUCUCUCUCUUAACAAAUUGUUGCUGUAUUUUCAGUCUGAAUUUGUUUGGCUUCAACUUCCAGCCAAUGCAUCUUGUUAUAACUUUAAAAAGCGUUGCAUUCUAAUAGUUGAUGUUUAACAUCCUCGCUAGGUGCAACUGGAAUAGAAAGUAUUUCACUAUUACUGUAGGAUAUGGAUACGUCAUUCCACUUCUUCCCAAAUACAGAACAGAAAUAUUUGUAA